GUGUUGCUGUUGUUGUUGUUGUUGUUGUUGUUGUUUUGCUUCUUUUUUUUGCCUUUACGUGAACUGGGUUUUGUCCAGAGGUUGUUGUUGUUGUUUUUCUUCUUGUAUUUUGCUUUCUUGCUGCUUGUGGAGGUCGGAGUUUCCUUUGCUGCUGCUGUAAUUAUGGGUGUUGACAAGGGCAAUUUGGUCAGUUCGCCAUUUUGUUGUUCCUCUUCUUCUACUUUUGGUGGUGUUAGGGUUAAAGUGGAAAGUGGCUUUUGCUUCUUUGGUGGUGGCUCUUCUUCUUCAUCUUCAUCCACGUCAUCAUCGUCGUCGUCGUCUUCUUCUUCUUUCAAGGGAAUUUUCGGGUCGGUGGUGGGCAAUUCGGGUUCGGCUUCUGGAGUAUUCGCACUGCCAUUUUCGGCAACUGGUUGUGGAACUUCGGCGGAAGAUGGUGAAGCUUCGGCGGGAACUAGUGGAGGUUCAGCGGCGGAUGAUGCAGCUUCGACGGCAGGGGUGU
rnacentral:lncRNA from 1 species